rnacentral:rRNA from 1 species
UCCUACGGGGCGCAGCAGUGGGGAAUAUUGCACAAUGGGGGAAACCCUGAUGCAGCGAUGCCGCGUGGAGGAAGAAGGUUUUCGGAUUGUAAACUCCUUUUAUCAGGGAAGAUAAUGACGGUACCUGAGUAAGAAGCCCCGGCUAACUACGUGCCAGCAGCCGCGGUAAUACGUAGGGGGCAAGCGUUAUCCGGAUUUACUGGGUGUAAAGGGAGCGUAGGCGGGACGGCAAGUCAGAUGUGAAAACUGAGGGCUCAACCUUCAGACUGCAUUUGAAACUGCUGUUCUUGAGUGAAGUAGAGGUA